rnacentral:rRNA from 1 species
GAUGAACGCUAGCUACAGGCUUAACACAUGCAAGUCGCGGGGCAGCAUGGGGGUUGCUUGCAAUCCCCGAUGGCGACCGGCGCACGGGUGAGUAACGCGUAUUCAACCUGCCCUUCACCACGGGAUAACCCGGCGAAAGUCGGACUAAUACCGUAUGUUGUCCAUUGACGGCAUCCGAUUUGGACGAAAGGCUUGGCGGUGAGGGAUGGGGAUGCGUCCGAUUAGCCAGACGGCGGGGUAACGGCCCACCGUGGCUACGAUCGGUAGGGGUUCUGAGAGGAAGGUCCCCCACACUGGAACUGAGACACGGUCCAGACUCCUACGGGAGGAAGCAGUGAGGAAUAUUGGUCAAUGGGCGUAAGCCUGAACCAGCCAAGUAGCGUGCAGGAGGACGGCCCUAUGGGUUGUAAACUGCUUUUAUGCGGGGAUAAAGUGGCCCACGUGUGGGCUUUUGCAGGUACCGCAUGAAUAAGGACCGGCUAAUUCCGUG